AGUGAACGCUGGCGGUAGGCCUAACACAUGCAAGUCGAACGGCAGCACAGGAGAGCUUGCUCUCUGGGUGGCGAGUGGCGGACGGGUGAGGAAUACAUCGGAAUCUGCCCAGUCGUGGGGGAUAACGUAGGGAAACUUACGCUAAUACCGCAUACGACCUUCGGGUGAAAGAGGGGGAUCGCAAGACCUCUCGCGAUUGGAUGAGCCGACGUCGGAUUAGCUAGUUGGCGGGGUAAUGGCCCACCAAGGCGACGAUCCGUAGCUGGUCUGAGAGGAUGAUCAGCCACACUGGAACUGAGACACGGUCCAGACUCCUACGGGAGGCAGCAGUGGGGAAUAUUGGACAGUGGGCGCAAGCCUGAUCCAGCCAUACCGCGUGGGUGAAGAAGGCCUUCGGGUUGUAAAGCCCUUUUGUUGGGAAAGAAAUCUUUCAGGCUAAUACCCUGGGAGGAUGACGGUACCCAAAGAAUAAGCACCGGCUAACUUCGU
rnacentral:rRNA from 1 species